rnacentral:rRNA from 1 species
UACAGAGGGUGCGAGCGUUAAUCGGAAUUACUGGGCGUAAAGCGUGCGUAGACGGUUAUUUAAGUCGGAUGUGAAAGCCCCGGGCUCAACCUGGGAAUUGCAUUCGAGACUGAAUAGCUAGGGUACGGUAGAGGGAAGUGGAAUUUCCGGUGUAGCGGUGAAAUGCGUAGAUAUCGGAAGGAACACCGGUGGCGAAGGCGGCAUCCUGGACCGACACUGACGCUGAGGAGCGAAAUCCAGGGGAUCAAACGGG